AGCGAACGCUGGCGGCAGGCCUAACGCAUGCAAGUCGAGCGGCCGUAGCAAUACGGCAGCGGCAGACGGGAGAGUAACACGUGGGAACGCGCCCUUCGGUUCGGAAUAACUCAGGGAAACUUGAGCUAAUACCGGAUACGCCCUUACGGGGAAAGAUUUAUUGCCGAAGGAACGGCCCGCGUCCGAUUAGCUUGUUGGUGAGGUAACGGCUCACCAAGGCGACGAUCGGUAGCUGGUCUGAGAGGAUGACCAGCCUCACUGGGACUGAGACACGGCCCAGACUCCUACGGGAGGCAGCAGUGGGGAAUAUUGGACAAUGGGCGCAAGCCUGAUCCAGCCAUGCCGCGUGGGUGAUGAAGGCCCUAGGGUUGUAAAGCCCUUUCAGCGGGGAAGAUAAUGACGGUACCCGCAGAAGAAGCCCCGACUAACUUCGUGCCAGCCGCCGCAGUAACAC
rnacentral:rRNA from 1 species